rnacentral:rRNA from 1 species
UACGUAGGUGGCAAGCGUUGUCCGGAUUUACUGGGCGUAAAGAGCGCGCAGGCGGUCGGUUAAGUCGGCUGUGAAAGCCCCCGGCUCAACUGGGGAGGGUCAUUCGAUACUGAUCGACUCGAAGGCAGGAGAGGGUAGUGGAAUUCCCGGUGUAGUGGUGAAAUGCGUAGAUAUCGGGAGGAACACCAGUGGCGAAGGCGACUACCUGGCCUGUUCUUGACGCUGAGGCGCGAAAGCUAGGGGAGCAAACGGG